rnacentral:lncRNA from 1 species
AGGCCAUAUAAAUCUCCUCCCUGCCCCCACUAUGACGUGCAGCUUCAGGGUGGAUGAAUUUGCCUGUGAUAAGUAAGGCUUCUGGAAGAAAGAGCUGCCUAGGGGAGCAAUUGCUUUCUGCCUAGGGGAAGGAAUGCCUUGUGCCCCUGGCACAGACAGGACCUGGGACCUACGUCCUCCUCUGGCCCCCAGUCCCCCAUCCAGGUGCUUAGACUGGGGAGGCAGGGGCAGCACUUCUGUCGCCCCCAGCCUUUGAUGCGACACAGAGCCUGGGGUUCACUGGAGUAGGGCUGCGGAGGAGGAAACCCUGUGGUCGCGGUGGGGACUAGAGACCUCUGCCCGCCCACCGGAACGUGUAUCUUUUCUUCUGUUUGCUUGCAGGGAGAAGAAAGAAGCACCUGCCUUGCCGCCUUCCCUCCUCUGCCUGUCCAAAGGUGAAUGAUAAGAGUCGGGCAGUGUGCACGUCUUCCCAGAAGAAAACAUGAGGCUCAGAUGUGACUCAGUGUCCCCGGGCAGGAAAUGGCAGGCGGCACCUCGCUUUACUCCAUGUCCAGCCUAUGUUGGAAAUACCCCUUCCUAUGUUGGAAAACUUGUAGAAUCAAUCCGGGGAAGAAAAGGUGCUGUGGUUCCAAUUGCAACGACAUCCUCUGUUCACUGCUGCCCGGGCCCUGUGGCACUGGGUAAGCUGCUGGGGUGGACGGCGGGAAUGGCUGUAUUUUGGGAGGCUCCCAUGCACGUUGUGUGACCAUGGGGUGGGGCACACAGUGGCCCCUCGGGGGCAUGUGGUUUGGUGGACCCCAAGGUCACAGCAGUGAGACCCACUGAGCCAGUGGUGGUAGUGAGGUUCCAGGAGCCUGGCUUUUCAAUGCAGGAAGACGUGUUGCUGAGGGUCACCUGAAGCUGGAAUUGGACCAACCCAGGA